GCAAGUCGAGCGGACCGAACUGGAAGCUUGCUUCUGUUCGGUUAGCGGCGGACGGGUGAGUAACACGUGGGUAACCUGCCCGUAAGACCGGGAUAACUCCGGGAAACCGGGGCUAAUACCGGAUAACACCAAAGACCGCAUGGUCUUUGGUUGAAAGGUGGCUUUUGCUACCACUUACGGAUGGGCCCGCGGCGCAUUAGCUAGUUGGUGAGGUAACGGCUCACCAAGGCGACGAUGCGUAGCCGGCCUGAGAGGGUGACCGGCCACACUGGGACUGAGACACGGCCCAGACUCCUACGGGAGGCAGCAGUAGGGAAUCUUCCGCAAUGGACGAAAGUCUGACGGAGCGACGCCGCGUGAGCGAAUAAGGUCUUCGGAUCGUAAAGCUCUGUUGUUAGGGAAGAAGAAGUACCGUUCGAAUAGGGCGGUACGGUGACGGUACCUAACGAGAAAGCCCCGGCUAACUACGUGCCAGCAGCCGCGGUAAUACGUAGGGGGCGAGCGUUGUCCGGAAUUAUUGGGCGUAAAGCGCGCGCAGGCGGUCCCUUAAGUCUGAUGUGAAAGCCCACGGCUCAACCGUGGAGGGUCAUUGGAAACUGGGGGACUUGAGUGCACAAGAGGAGAGCGGAAUUCCACGUGUAGCGGUGAAAUGCGUAGAGAUGUGGAGGAACACCAGUGGCGAAAGCCGCUCUCUGGUCUGUAACUGACGCUGAAGCGCCAAAGCGUGGGGAGCAAACAGGAUUUUAUACCCUGGGGGUCCCCCCCCUAAACCAUGAGUGC
rnacentral:rRNA from 1 species